CAAGUGGUGCGCACCUGUGAUCCCAGCUACUUGGGAGGCUGAAGCAGGAGAAUCGCUUGAACCUGGGAGGCAGAGGUUGCAGUGAGCCGAGAUCACACCAUUGCACUCCAACCUGGGCGACAGAGAGAGCCUCCGUCUCAAAAACAAAAGCUCCAUGAAGGUCCAGAAGGACCAGGUCAACCAUGCUUACUGUCCCUGACAGCUUAAGCUGUCAGGGUGAGGGAUUAGGCAAUAGAGGACAACCUUCCAGAGAGAGUGGGCACCAAGGAGUUAGUAACAGAUCCAGUGGAGUGGGAGAUGGGGAAGUGGAGGUGGUUGGCUGGGAAGAGGAGGAGAGGAAAGGGAAGGAAGGGAGCGUCAUGUGGGUAUGCAGCCCAGGAGGGCAAGACAAAUGGGUUUGGGCUGGCCUGGAAAUACUGGGGCUAGGAUGUAUGCAGGUGGGAAGAGGAAGGGGUGAGCUUUCCUCCUCCCACCUGGUCAUUUUAGGUUGACUAGACAGACAAGGACACCCUCAACCUAGCUCUUCCUUGACAGUCUCGGAAGUGUCCCACUUCCUUCAUCCCAUCCCCAUCUUGCAGGCCAAGGCACACUAUUCUCAUCCCUCCUUCCCUCUCCCUUCCUGCCCCCAUGGCUCCCCUGAGGUUUUUCGGAACCAGCCACUCCCACCCCCAGUCUGCUGUCUCACCCUCCCUGGCCCAGCCUGGUGAGACAGGCAGGGAGGAGUUUCCAGGCAGGAAAGCGCUGAGUCACUCACCAACACAUCUGGUCUCAGAUCUUGAUACCCAGCUGGAAGGGGCAGGAAGGAAGAGGGCUCCUCCCCACAAGCUCUCCUGGCCAGUCCCCACCAUUGCCAGCUGUGUGGGGCAGUCUGGGAGAGGAGCGCCUCUGCCACUGUAACAACUAGCCUUUGCUGGACUGCCUCGCCCACUCCAGCUGGGGUGCUUCACUUCUGUGAUUGCCUUUAAUGCUCCGAACAGCCCUGGGAAGUAGGGCCGAUCACCUCCAAUUCACAGGUUCAAAGUCCCUGGGUUGGGGACACUGACGGGGCUGGACAUGGCCAGGGAUUCCACCAGGGGCUUUAAGAGUCAUGGAAUUGCCGGGCGCUGUGGCUCACACCUGUAAUCCCAGGAGUUUGGGAGGCUGAGGCAGGAGGAUCACUUGAGCCCAGAAGCUUGAGACCAGCCUAGACAACAACGUGAGACCCUGUCUCUACAAAGAAAUAAAAUUAGCUGGGUGUGGUGGUGCACACAUGUGGUCCCAGCUACAUGGGAGGCUGAGGCAGGAGGAUCACUUGAUCCCAGGAGGUUGAGGCUGCAAUGAGCCAACACUACACCAAUGCACUCCAGCCUAGGUGACAGAGCAUGACCCUGUCUCAAAAAAAAAAAAAAAAAGUCAUGGAAUCAAACACAAGUGCCCACCUGCAGCAGGUCACUGCACUGCUUUGGGCUGUGUGUCGUCAUCUGUCAAAUGGGGGUACAAUAGAA
rnacentral:lncRNA from 10 species